rnacentral:pre_miRNA from 1 species
UGCCCUUUUUCUGUUGUACUACUGGGAGCUCUCAUUAGCAGUGCAAUAUUAAAAGGGCAUU